rnacentral:rRNA from 1 species
CGGGAGGAGCAAGCGUUGUUCGGAUUUACUGGGCGUAAAGGGCGCGUAAGCGGCCACCGCAAGUCGACUGUGAAAUCUCUGGGCUUAACUCAGAACGGUCAGCCGAUACUGCGGGGCUAGAGUGCAGAAGGGGCAACUGGAAUUCUCGGUGUAGCGGUGAAAUGCGUAGAUAUCGAGAGGAACACCUGCGGCGAAGGCGGGUUGCUGGGCUGACACUGACGCUGAGGCGCGAAAGCUAGGGGAGCGAACGGGAUUAGAUACCCCGGUAGUCCUAGCCUUAAACGAUGAAUGCUUGGUGUCUGGGGUUUUAUAGUCCCCGGGUGCCGUCGCUAACGCUUUAAGCAUUCCGCCUGGGGAGUACGGUCGCAAGACUG